UCAAGAGGAAUGAAAUUAUUUACAUGUAGUUGGAUCCCAAAAGAUUGUGAACCAAAAGCUUUGAUUUUCCUUUGUCAUGGAUAUGCCAUGGAAUGCAGUAUAUCGAUGAAAGAUGCUGGAACGCGAUUGGCGAAAUCAGGAUUUGGAGUUUAUGGAAUUGAUUAUGAAGGACAUGGAAAAUCAGAUGGACUUCAAGGAUAUGUUAAUAGCUUUGAUGCUCUUGUUGAUGAUUGUUUUGAUCAUUAUUCCAAAAUUUCUGAAAGAAAGGAAAAUAAGAAAAAGAUGAGAAUAUUAAUGGGAGAAUCGAUGGGAGGAGCUGUGGCUCUACUUUUACACAGAAAAAAACCUGAAUUUUGGGAUGGUGCUGUUUUAAUUGCUCCAAUGUGUAAGAUUGCAGAUGAUCUGAGGCCACAUCCAGUGGUGAUAAGUGUUUUGACCAAACUUUGCAACUUUAUCCCAACUUGGAGAAUAGUUCCAACUCAAGAUAUUGUUGAUUCAGCAUUUAGAGACCCUGAAGUUAGAAAAGAGAUUAGAAACAACCCUCAUUGCUACAAGGGAAAGCCCAGGCUACAAACAGCUCACCAACUAAUGACAGUCAGCAUGGAUUUAGAACAAAGACUUGAAGAAGUCACAUUGCCAUUUCUCAUUGUUCAUGGUGAAGAGGACACUGUGACUGAUCCAUCUGUAAGCAAACUUCUCCACGAAAAGGCAUCGAGCAUCGACAAGAGCUUCAAGCUGUACCCAGGGAUGUGGCAUUCCCUCUCCUACGGAGAAUUCCCCGAGAACAGAGACAUCGUGUUCUCGGACAUUGUAGUGUGGCUCAAGGAGAGAAUAAGCAUGGGUAACUCAAGGCUAGAGAGGCAACAAAAGCUAGCAAAUGAUCAAAUUUUACCAAAGAUGACCACUUAGCUAAAUGGACCUUCCUAUGAGUUUGUGGUAGUAGUAAAGUAUUUGAUGUCUUGUAAAACAAAGAAAAAGAAGAAGAGUUGUGUUGAGUUUACAAACUUCACAAAAAAUGUGUUGAUUUGUAAAG
rnacentral:misc_RNA from 1 species